CAGCAGUAGCCACGGUAAUACAGAGGGUGCGAGCGUUAAUCGGAUUUACUGGGCGUAAAGCGUGCGUAGGCGGCUUCUUAAGUCGGAUGUGAAAUCCCUGAGCUUAACUUAGGAAUUGCAUUCGAUACUGGGAAGCUAGAGUAUGGGAGAGGAUGGUAGAAUUCCAGGUGUAGCGGUGAAAUGCGUAGAGAUCUGGAGGAAUACCGAUGGCGAAGGCAGCCAUCUGGCCUAAUACUGACGCUGAGGUACGAAAGCAUGGGGAGCAAACAGGAUUAGAUACCCGCGUAGUCCCUGUCUCUUAUAA
rnacentral:rRNA from 1 species